UUUACUUCUAAGGAUUUUUGGAAGUGGAGCAGAAUACUACACUAAGGAGAAUCUUGAUGCAGGGAUAGAAAGUGAGGACGAUGGUCCUUUUACUGGUUUUGAUGGUUGAUAGACCAUCUGCUGCAGGAUUUAUGCUUACUCUAUGGAGCAAGUCUCAUUUAUGUUAAUCGCUUUUAUUAUGUAUGGU